UGUCUGUUCACAGAAGGCAUGAAGGUAACAGCGCUAGUUGGAAUGUGGAAAACACUGGCCACAGGGAACUUCCCAGGGACUGUCCACGUAGACCACCUCGUCCAGAGGAAAGGGCAUCAUUCUGGAGACGGUUUUCCAGAAGAAAUCCCAAAGACUUCCUGGACAGACCUCCUCGCCCAGAAAAAAGGUAAUCACAUGGGCAAUACU